AUUGUUAGAAACUGGGAAGCUAGCAAGUUGUGGACAAUUAUAUAUUGAAACUCAUAAAAGGAAAGAUGGAUCAUUUGUAAAUGAAGCAGCAAAGACUAUAGCGGAACAAAUUGAAGUAGGAUUGACUCAAAGCAUAGUUGAUGAAUCUGAAGUUUCUCCUCUUGAUGUUCCAAAUGAUGCUUCAAGUGUUCCUAAUACACCUUUGGAUGCAAGAAGAUUUUCUCGUGCUAGCAACCCUUAGUUUGCUUAUAAUGUAUUUUGGAUUUAAAGUUUAGUACAAGACUAAUAUUACUUUGUUAUGGAUUUUAUGUCAUACUUUGAUUUACAAUAGAAAUUUG